GCCCCGGUAGCCCAACUGGCAGAGGCAGUCGGCUUAAAACCGACCCAGUGCGGGUUCGAUCCCCGUCCGGGGCA
rnacentral:tRNA from 1 species